CGCAAACUUGUUGCAGACUGACAGACAGACAGGAGGGGACGCAGUAAAAACGAAGACGAAGACUAAGAAGAAGAAGAAGCCAAAAUGAGGUAUGGACAGGACCUGAGAGUUCCAGAAAAUAGUCCUUACAAAACUGGUAACCCUACACAAAGAAAUUCGGAAGCUACAAAGACACAUCACUGAGCCAGGAGCGUGUGUGGACCAAAUAGACAGCAUGGAGGAAUUUCAAGAGAAGGAAGCCUCCCUGUCCGACCCAGAGACCUUUUGUAAUUUGGCUCAUCAACUGGCAAGAAUUGGUGGGAGGGAUACAAAGGACUGUCAAAACAGCAAAUCAAGCUCUUAAAAACUGUUUCAGAACUUCGUCUAUGAUGAGGACCAAAUGAAUUCCUUCCAGGAAUCUUUCUUGGAAAGUAAGGCGUAAAAUAAAGCGUAACCAGCACUGUCAAGUGCUGGACAGGUAUUUCGUGAUUCAUUUGCUUGUUAGAUGGUACUUGCUUUAAUCAUCAGUAACAUAAGCAUGUUGACUAACUUGUGUUUCUCUUGGAUUAGGCUCUUCAGUAACAAGUUGAUGAUGCAAUUCAACUUGAAAGGGAAGGGGGAAAAGGACAAAUAUGGAUUAGAAAACACAAAGGUGUUUUCUGUCAUAAAGUGUAAGCCUACAGACAUUUUUUAAGUAAACACUUUGUAAAUUUUUGUCCAGAGAGGGAAUAAUAAUUUUAAUA